AAUUAAGAAUUUCAUCUAUUUUUACUUAAAAAUGGGCGUGGCUAACAGAAUAACUAAACAGUUUACAAGUGACAUUUUUAUAGGUAGAAAUGGAUGAAAUUUUUAACA
rnacentral:pre_miRNA from 1 species